UCUAGCGAAUGUUAUAAACUUAACACUUUCUGUUGUACCGAAGUUCUCACUGAUUUUGUGCAUCAACAUUGUUUAUAAAGCUUUUGCUGAUUAAAUUCUAAAUGCUGGAAGAUUUAUUUCGUGCUUUAUUUUAUUAUAUACCGACCAUAAUGUCUAUUGAACAUGUUGGGUUUUACCCUUAAGACACUAUCUUUAUCUUGUUUUGAGAUUCCUGAAACGGUAGUGAAAGAUAAGAUAGCAAAGCAUAGCAUAUUUGUGGAACAGAGGGGUUUGUUAUUUGAGACUACUGGCCCGAGGACAUGGGUGGGAUAUUUUCUUCAAGGGAUGGACCAUAAUAAUUCAUUCCCUUCGGUGAAGUGCAUGACUCCAGGAAAUGUCCAAUUUCAUGUUUUCUGUAGCUUUUAUCCAAAACCUUUUCUUCAGCACAGACUAUUGCAGGUGUAGCUGUGGAAGUUUGAGUAUAUAAGGAAAAUUUUAUAAGUCGUGGCCAGAUUCUCAAGAAUUAUUGUGAUAUUUAACUAUUCAAUUUUGACUCUUUGAAUUAUUUACAUUGGAAUUGACAGGCGGUAUUUGAACGCUACUUACCAACACUAUUGUAUCCCCUGCUUAUUAUAUUUGGUGGAAAUGUUUGCAUAUAAUCAUUUGUCUACAAAAUAUUUCCAUAGUCAUUUGUCUACAAAAUGUUUCCAUAUAGUCAAUUUGUCUACAAAAUGUCUGCACCAACUUGAUCCAUGCGGAGUAUGAACUUCAGCAUCUUUUUUCUUUUUCUUUUCUAAAAUAACCGUUUAAACCUCAUUUAUUUUAUGAACAAGUAUCUCUUUGUGAUGCAUAAAUUUUGAUAUUUCUCAAUACUACUUUUAUAUGAAUGGGUGAGUUUUCAUUGACAGCAAUUAUUCUCUCGUGGCCAUCUCUACAGUUUGCAGCACCCCUCUUUUUCCUCAAGUUGAUUUUGUCUCAAGCCUUGACUGCGUUGAUAGGUGUAGCGCUGGUGUUGGCUUUCACCCUAUUUUUCGUUUGUGAACAAUAUGAAUCGGAAAUAGAUGGAUUGACAAAGCUCCUGUUCAACGGGUUCAUAUCAGCUUCUGGGUCAUUGAGAAGAAAUCUACCUGCUUCCAUGCAACUAUAUCUUGAAAAACAUGGAAUCUUGCAUCACGAUAAAGGUAAAGCAUCAUAAAUAGCUGCCACUGUCACCUCAAUAGUCUUUUCGCAGAGGUUUUUCUAACUGUAUAAAUCCAAUCCAAUCCAAUGGUCUGCUAGCUAGCUUAGAUUUUUAUGAAAAUAUAGAUUUUGGGGCAAAUCCAACAAAAGAAAUAGCACAAUACAGACUCUUGCUCUGUUCUUAUUGUUAACCAAAAUGUUAUAGGCUGUAGAAAUCAAUGCCUUUUCGACAUAUCUGUAAAACCGAGAAAUAUUUUGGUAAAAUAUUAAUCUCUUG